GGGGCAUUAGCGCAGCUGGUAGCGCAUCUGCUUUGCAAGCAGAGGGUCACCGGUUCGAGUCCGGUAUGCUCCA
rnacentral:tRNA from 1 species